rnacentral:rRNA from 1 species
GACGUAGGGCGCGAGCGUUGUCCGGAUUUAUUGGGCGUAAAGAGCUCGUAGGUGGUUUGUCGCGUUGUUCGUGAAAACCCGCAGCUCAACUGUGGGCUUGCAGCUGAUACGGGCAGGCUUGAGUUCGGUAGGGGAGACUGGAAUUCCUGGUGUAGCGGUGAAAUGCGCAGAUAUCAGGAGGAACACCGAUGGCGAAGGCAGCUCGCUGGGACGGUACUGACGCUGAGGCGCGGAAAGCUAGGGGAGCAAACGGG